UGUUUGUGUUGCAGAGAUAAUUCGUACACCAUUUAAUAGCAGACACAUGUCACUAGUUUGCAUCACAAAUUUGAAUGCAGUGGUUUAAAAGAGCUCCAAGCUACAGACAGAAAUGUCAAAAAUGUUACAACCAUCCCCGGUCUCCCCUAAUGUGCUUUUUUAUUUAGGUUGAAAUCUAGUGGCAACAAUGGUUGUGACAUUACACUUAUUACAUUAUUUAGUGAUAUUUCAUUUGGGGAUAGUAGCACUGUAAUCCUUUACGGGACCACUCCCAUUUGCUUUGAAAUCAUAUCAUAAAGAUCAAUUAAAAUGUGUGUUGUGUGGCCUGGCCAUAAGGGGUUAAGUGACAUUGACCCAUGUUCAUCGUACCAGUUUAUUAUACAGUCUGGUUUCAACAUGCCAUCCCUUGAUCACCAAUAAUUUUCCUUAUUUUUUUCUUCAGGAUAAAAUUCUCAAAGACCAAUAGCUUUCCUGCUUCUGGUGUAUACAUUAUAUAUAUAGGAUCCCCCUGGGCGUCAGGUGGUUUACCCACCAUCAUCUCAGCCAGAGUCCGGAUCUCCCUGCCAAGCAUGAGAAGGGUGGGUGAGCAGGAGGUGGAGUCCUGUGCAGCAGACCGGAUGGCUUGGAUUAGGGCAAUGUGGCAAGAGAAUAAAAGGCAAGAAGAAGGGACGGUGCCAGCCAGCUGAGUAGACACAGAAAACAUGUUGUUAUUCUGGCCAAAUGUGUAAAUGCAACAAGACAUUUGAAUGAAUGCCGCAAACCAUCUGAUGGUUGGAGAGAGUUUCCUCUUCUGAAAGUGAAGAUGAGAUCCGUACAGAAGCUGAAGAAGGUGCACUGGAAGUAAAAAGAAGAAGAAAAACUAAGACAUCUGAAGAAUGUUUGGCAGGGAAGGUGAUGAUGGGUCAGACUUGGAGGAUCUAUGAAACUUGCACCUACCUGCAAUGACCCCUUGCAAAUUCAGGGGCCCAACUCAGAAAAGCAGACCAGACCACCUUCCCAUGGAGGUCUGUCUCACCAAACAAAACAAAGCAGAAGAUCAAGAUCACUUGUUGGUCAUCAAUCUAUGCAAGGGGCCAGCUUCAGACAACAAACUCCAUUAACACAUGGAAAACGCUCCCCGUACCUAAUGCCAGAAUGCAUUAGAAUUUCAGAGAAAAGUCAUGGAAAUACUCGUGAAAAUCUGUGAGGAUGUCCGCGCCAUGAAGAAACAUCCUGGGAAUGCUGAAAGGUACGAAGACUCAAAGAUUCCUGCACAGGGUUCAACAGUUGAGGCACUAAACCUCCUUGACAAAUCCCUUGACUCCCUGGAUGAAAAGCAGACACUGAUUAAUGGCUUGUCCAAGGUGGGAGGAGUCCACUUGAAGGACAACGUGAAGAGAAUGAUCAAAAAGUUGAAUACAAAUUAGGUCAUGGCGAAUUUCAACAUGAAGGGGGGAGGGGGCAAGCUUGCCUUCCCAAAGCUCUGUCUCUUCACUGUUGUCACAGAGAGUGUCCAGAGGACGACAGAGGAAACGGAGGCAAACAUUGCAGCAGUUGUUGUCUUCUGCUUGAGAAUGCUUCGGUUGUUGGGAUGAGUGUCGGUGACCAGUCCUGCACCGUCUGGGGCUCUGCAGCUGUGAAGGGCAAAACACAACA